CCUACGGGGUGCAGCAGUGAGGAAUAUUGGUCAAUGGCCGUAAGGCUGAACCAGCCAAGCCGCGUGAAGGAAGAAGGUUCUAUGGUUUGUAAACUUCUUUUAUAGGGGAAUAAAGGUAUCCACGUGUGGCUAUUUGCAUGUACCUUAUGAAUAAGCAUCGGCUAACUCCGUGCCAGCAGCCGCGGUAAUACGGAGGAUGCGAGCGUUAUCCGGAUUUAUUGGGUUUAAAGGGUGCGUAGGUUGAUUUUUAAGUCAGCGGUGAAAGUUUGUGGCUCAACCAUAAAAUUGCCGUUGAAACUGGAAGACUUGAGUGUGGUUGAGGUAGGCGGAAUGCGUGGUGUAGCGGUGAAAUGCAUAGAUAUCACGCAGAACUCCGAUUGCGAAGGCAGCUUACUAGGCAAUAACUGACACUGAGGCACGAAAGCGUGGGGAUCAAACAGGAUUAGAUACCCGAGUAGUC
rnacentral:rRNA from 1 species